rnacentral:rRNA from 1 species
AAUGGGGAAACCCAGUGUGUUUCGACACACUAUCAUUAACUGAAUCCAUAGGUUAAUGAGGCGAACCGGGGGAACUGAAACAUCUAAGUACCCCGAGGAAAAGAAAUCAACCGAGAUUCCCCCAGUAGCGGCGAGCGAACGGGGAGGAGCCCAGAGCCUGAAUCAGUGUGUGUGUUAGUGGAAGCGUCUGGAAAGGCGCGCGAUACAGGGUGACAGCCCCGUACACAAAAAUGCACAUACUGUGAGCUCGAUGAGUAGGGCGGGACACGUGGUAUCCUGUCUGAAUAUGGGGGGACCAUCCUCCAAGGCUAAAUACUCCUGACUGACCGAUAGUGAACCAGUACCGUGAGGGAAAGGCGAAAAGAACCCCGGCGAGGGGAGUGAAAAAGAACCUGAAACCGUGUACGUACAAGCAGUGGGAGCCUCUUAAUGGGGUGACUGCGUACCUUUUGUAUAAUGGGUCAGCGACUUAUAUUCUGUAGCAAGGUUAACCGAAUAGGGGAGCCGAAGGGAAACCGAGUCUUAACUGGGCGUUAAGUUGCAGGGUAUAGACCCGAAACCCGGUGAUCUAGCCAUGGGCAGGUUGAAGGUUGGGUAACACUAACUGGAGGACCGAACCGACUAAUGUUGAAAAAUUAGCGGAUGACUUGUGGCUGGGGGUGAAAGGCCAAUCAAACCGGGAGAUAGCUGGUUCUCCCCGAAAGCUAUUUAGGUAGCGCCUCGUGAAUUCAUCUCCGGGGGUAGAGCACUGUUUCGGCAAGGGGGUCAUCCCGACUUACCAACCCGAUGCAAACUGCGAAUACCGGAGAAUGUUAUCACGGGAGACACACGGCGGGUGCUAACGUCCGUCGUGAAGAGGGAAACAACCCAGACCGCCAGCUAAGGUCCCAAAGUCAUGGUUAAGUGGGAAACGAUGUGGGAAGGCCCAGACAGCCAGGAUGUUGGCUUAGAAGCAGCCAUCAUUUAAAGAAAGCGUAAUAGCUCACUGGUCGAGUCGGCCUGCGCGGAAGAUGUAACGGGGCUAAACCAUGCACCGAAGCUGCGGCAGCGACACUAUGUGUUGUUGGGUAGGGGAGCGUUCUGUAAGCCUGUGAAGGUGU